AUUGAACGCUGGCGGCAGGCCUAACACAUGCAAGUCGAACGGUAACAGGAAACAGCUUGCUGUUUCGCUGACGAGUGGCGGACGGGUGAGUAAUGUCUGGGAAACUGCCUGAUGGAGGGGGAUAACUACUGGAAACGGUAGCUAAUGCCGCAUAACGUCGCAAGACCAAAGAGGGGGACCUUCGGGCCUCUUGCCAUCGGAUGUGCCCAGAUGGGAUUAGCUAGUAGGGGGGGUAACGGCUCACCUAGGCGACGAUCCCUAGCUGGUCUGAGAGGAUGACCAGCCACACUGGAACUGAGACACGGUCCAGACUCCUACGGGAGGCAGCAGUGGGGAAUAUUGCACAAUGGGCGCAAGCCUGAUGCAGCCAUGCCGCGUGUAUGAAGAAGGCCUUCGGGUUGUAAAGUACUUUCAGCGGGGAGGAAGGGAGUAAAGUCAAUACCUUUGCUCAUUGACGUUACCCGCAGAAGAAGCACCGGCUAACUCCGUGCCAGCCGCCGCAGUAA
rnacentral:rRNA from 1 species